rnacentral:rRNA from 1 species
UGCCAGCAGCCGCGGUAAUACGGAGGGUGCAAGCGUUAUCCGGAAUCAUUGGGUUUAAAGGGUCCGCAGGCGGACGUAUAAGUCAGUGGUGAAAUCCUGCAGCUUAACUGCAGAACUGCCAUUGAUACUGUACGUCUUGAAUUCGGUCGAAGUGGGCGGAAUGUGUAGUGUAGCGGUGAAAUGCAUAGAUAUUACACAGAACACCGAUAGCGAAGGCAGCUCACUAGGCCUGGAUUGACGCUCAGGGACGAAAGCGUGGGGAUCAAACAGGAUUAGAUA